rnacentral:rRNA from 1 species
AGUGAACGCUGGCGGUAGGCCUAACACAUGCGAGUCGAACGGCAGCACAGUAAGAGCUUGCUCUUACGGGUGGCGAGUGGCGGACGGGUGAGGAAUACAUCGGAAUCUACUUUUUCGUGGGGGAUAACGUAGGGAAACUUACGCUAAUACCGCAUACGACCUACGGGUGAAAGCAGGGGAUCUUCGGACCUUGCGCGAUUGAAUGAGCCGAUGUCGGAUUAGCUAGUUGGCGGGGUAAGGCCCACCAAGGCGACGAUCCGUAGCUGGUCUGAGAGGAUGAUCAGCCACACUGGAACUGAGACACGGUCCAGACUCCUACGGGAGGCAGCAGUGGGGAAUAUUGGACAAUGGGCGCAAGCCUGAUCCAGCCAUACCGCGUGGGUGAAGAAGGCCUUCGGGUUGUAAAGCCCUUUUGUUGGGAAAGAAAAGCAGCAGGUUAAUACCCCGCUGUUCUGACGGUACCCAAAGAAUAAGCACCGGCUAACUUCGUG